rnacentral:lncRNA from 1 species
AUGCUAUUAUUGAUGUUGUUGGCAGGGCUAGUAUUGUUGGAACUUGUGGUGUAGUGUUGGUGGUGGGUUUGGCAUGGUUGGAACUUGUGGUAUGGUGUGGUUUAGAUGGUGAGUGCUUCUUAGCUUAAAAAUAGUGGAGUCCGAACAAUCAGCACAGGAGUAAGGGAGAAAAAAACUAAAAAGUUUAAAGUGAAUAAGAAGAGAAGAGUUGGUUACCAAAAUUUAAAAAAUAUGUGCUG